rnacentral:misc_RNA from 1 species
UCUCCGUUGGUGAACCAGCGGAGGGAUCAUUACCGAGUUUACAAGUCUCAAACCCCUGUGAACAUACCAUUUGUUGCCUCGGCGGUGCUUGCUUCCGCAGCCCGCCUUAGGACCCAAACCCUUGAUAUUAUACCGUAUCUUCUGAGUAAAUGUUUACAUAAAAUAAAACUUUCAACAACGGAUCUCUUGGUUCUG